rnacentral:rRNA from 1 species
UGGGGAAUAUUGGACAAUGGGCGCAAGCCUGAUCCAGCAAUGCCGCGUGUGUGAAGAAGGCCUUCGGGUUGUAAAGCACUUUUAUCAGGAGCGAAACGCUGUCGGCUAAUACCCGGCGGAACUGACGGUACCUGAGGAAUAAGCACCGGCUAACUUCGUGCCAGCAGCCGCGGUAAUACGAAGGGUGCAAGCGUUAAUCGGAAUUACUGGGCGUAAAGCGUGCGUAGGCGGUUUCUUAAGUCUGCUGUGAAAUCCCCGGGCUCAACCUGGGAAUGCAGUGGAUACUGGGAGGCUAGAGUGUGUCAGAGGGUGGUGGAAUUCCCGGUGUAGCGGUGAAAUGCGUAGAGAUCGGGAGGAACAUCAGUGGCGAAGGCGGCCACCUGGGACAACACUGACGCUGAGGCNCGAAAGCGUGGGGAGCAAACAGGAUUAGGAUACCCUGGUAGUCCACGCCCUAAACGAUGCGAACUGGAUGUUGGUCUCAACUCGGAGAUCAGUGUCGAAGCUAACGCGUUAAGUUCGGCCGCCCUGGGGAGUACGGUCGCAAGACUGAAACUCAAAUGAA